AGUGAACGCUGGCGGUAGGCCUAACACAUGCAAGUCGAACGGCAGCACAGUAAGAGCUUGCUCUUACGGGUGGCGAGUGGCGGACGGGUGAGGAAUACAUCGGAAUCUACUUUUUCGUGGGGGAUAACGUAGGGAAACUUACGCUAAUACCGCAUACGACCUACGGGUGAAAGCAGGGGAUCUUCGGACCUUGCGCGAUUGAAUGAGCCGAUGUCGGAUUAGCUAGUUGGCGGGGUAAAGGCCCACCAAGGCGACGAUCCGUAGCUGGUCUGAGAGGAUGGUCAGCCACACUGGACCUGAGACACGGUCCAGACUCCUACGGGAGGCAGCAGUGGGGAAUAUUGGACAAUGGGCGCAAGCCUGAUCCAGCCAUACCGCGUGGGUGAAGAAGGCCUUCGGGUUGUAAAGCCCUUUUGUUGGGAAAGAAAAGCAGCAGGUUAAUACCCCGCUGUUCUGACGGUACCCAAAGAAUAAGCACCGGCUAACUUCGUG
rnacentral:rRNA from 1 species